rnacentral:rRNA from 1 species
GUGGUAAUGCCGGAUGCUCCAUCACACCGCAUGGUGUGUUGGGAAAGCCUUUGCGGCAUGGGAUGGGGUCGCGUCCUAUCAGCUUGAUGGCGGGGUAACGGCCCACCAUGGCUUCGACGGGUAGCCGGCCUGAGAGGGCGACCGGCCACAUUGGGACUGAGAUACGGCCCAGACUCCUACGGGAGGCAGCAGUGGGGAAUAUUGCACAAUGGGCGCAAGCCUGAUGCAGCGACGCCGCGUGAGGGAUGGAGGCCUUCGGGUUGUAAACCUCUUUUGUUAGGGAGCAAGGCAUUUUGUGUUGAGUGUACCUUUCGAAUAAGCACCGGCUAACUACGUGCCAGCAGCCGCGGUAAUACGUAGGGUGCAAGCGUUAUCCGGAAUUAUUGGGCGUAAAGGGCUCGUAGGCGGUUCGUCGCGUCCGGUGUGAAAGUCCAUCGCUUAACGGUGGAUCCGCGCCGGGUACGGGCGGGCUUGAGUGCGGUAGGGGAGACUGGAAUUCCCGGUGUAACGGUGGAAUGUGUA